rnacentral:rRNA from 1 species
GGGCCUACGGGGGGCAGCAGUCGGGAAUAUUGCACAAUGGAGGAAACUCUGAUGCAGUGACGCCGCGCGCAGGAAGAAGGUUUUCGGAUUGUAAACUGCUUUAGAUGGGGAAGAAGAAAGACUGUACCCAUAGAAUAAGCUCCGGCUAACUACGUGCCGGCAGCCGCGGUAAUACGUAGGGAGCAAGCGUUAUCCGGAUUUAUUGGGUGUAAAGGGUGCGUAGACGGGAAUUUAAGUUAGUUGUGAAAUCCCUCGGCUUAACUGAGGAACUGCAAUUAAAGCUGAAUUUCUUGAGUGCGGGAGAG